AUUAAUUAUCAAGAAUCUCAAAAGAGGAGAUAGCAACCUGCAAUAACAAGCAAGGUGCUCAAGAGAUAGGCCAAUCCGUUGGAACAAAUGUUACCCCA
rnacentral:ncRNA from 1 species